UACGUAGGGGGCAAGCGUUGUCCGGAAUUACUGGGCGUAAAGCGUGCGCAGGCGGUUCGUUGUGUCGGCGGGGAAAGCCCCGGGCUUAACCUGGGAAUGGCCGUUGAAACUGGCGAACUGGAGUGUGGCAGAGGGGGGUGGAAUUCCGCGUGUAGCAGUGAAAUGCGUAGAGAUGCGGAGGAACACCGAUGGCGAAGGCAGCCCCCUGGGCUAACACUGACGCUCAGGCACGAAAGCGUGGGGAGCAAACAGG
rnacentral:rRNA from 1 species